rnacentral:misc_RNA from 1 species
AGGAGAGUCCUGUCCCUUUCUCUUGCUAAGUAAAUAUAUUUGGGUAUAUACCAAUUCUGAGCCUUCAACUCUAUUAUCGAGUCAGAGUCAGACUUAUCCCGAAAAGAGAAAGAUCUCCAUUAUUGAGCAUAUUCAAUUGUCUAGAAAGUUCAAGUGCUCAAGGCCAACAACGACAUUCAUUACGUUCAAGCUUAAGAUGAAAGGAAUUUCCUACCUCCAAGACUUCAGUCUA